GCUGCUCUUUUUAGUCAUGUUAAGAGUGCUACUGAAAAUUACACUUAAAAAGAAUUGUUUGAAUGAAAUAGGUCUGAAACAAUGUGGAAAUAGAAGCUUUUGCCUUUAGAGUUGAGAGACCAAGGAGACUCAGAACUGUUUUGUGGUUGAGAAGACUCAUCGGUCAAGAACGAGUUGAUUGGCGUUGACUCUGGCAAGAAAGGUGGUUGGAAUAUCUGUCACGCACCGGCACAUGUACUAAGUCCUACGAUACUAUGGUGGUGUGUGGAGGCUAACAGCAAGGAUUCUAGCAACUGGAUUUUAGGAGCAGAUUCAUCAGCAGCUCUAGUUUCGUCCUAGAUUGGUGGUCUAGUCAACCUCCCUCCAGAAAAGGUGUAUAGGAAUGGCAGUGUCGUUUUUAACAAAAAAUAGGGGAAAAACUCUGAAGGAAGAAUAGGUCAAGGCUUUUCUCUGGCUUUGACACCAUAUAAAAUAGAAACGAAGGAGAAAAGAAAGAGAU
rnacentral:misc_RNA from 1 species